rnacentral:lncRNA from 1 species
CUUAAGUGCUGACCGCAGCAACAGUUGAAUACACCUCGUUCUGUGGGGCAUCUCUUAAAAGAAAAAUAGCCUCAAAUCCAAUGGCAGCAAAGCCAUGGCUCUUUCUUUUUUUUUUUUUUUUUCUUUUUUUUUUUUUUCUUUUUCACACAAUGAGCAUCAGAUGCAGAGGAAGCUUUUCGGGCUUCCCUGCUUUCAUCCGUUAGGAGGAGCUUCAGGAGCUGUGUGCAAAGCAAGACCUCUGCCUGCAGCCCAGUGAGGACAAUGCUGGCAACAUUCACUGCUUUAUUUCACACAUUUCUGUGGGCUUUCAGUGACAGCAGCUGGUCUCUGGGCUAGGAGGGCAAAUGAAAAACACAAGAGCUGUUAUUGCAGAUAUGCUGUUUUUGAAGAGGAGAUAAUCCAACCAAAAGUACUGGCAAAUGUUUGUUCCUUAACGUACAGCCUUUAUUUUGCAGAAGCUUGCUAGUGGAAAAAAAAUAUGGGACCAACAAUUAUGCAAAUAUUGUUUUCUUCGCAAGGACAAAAUUAAAGCUGGUGUGCUUCAAGCUACACAUUUUUCCACAUCUCCCAUGUUUGGAUUUAAAGAAAGCUUACAUUUUUCAGCAGCGUUACAACUAAAUCUGUUUGGGACUGGGGAGACAAAAAUGCAAAGGAAACCAGACAUAAAGGAACGUAAAGAGAGAGAUGAAAUGAGAGUGGUAAUGGAGGAAGAAAACAUGAGAGAAAAUGCUGUUCCUAUAAAGACUGUAUGUCUAAGCCAGGCUUGCGGAGCUCCAGCCCAGGGGCUGGUGGGUGCCAACAGAGACGGACACUGCUGAUGGCUGCUGCCUCCCUGUGCCCCGGGCCUCCAAAGAGGCUGUGAAAUGUGGAACUGCAGAAGCAACACCGUGGGCCUGGAAGGAGCCAGGAGGAUGUGAGAAGGAGAGAUGGAGGAGAAAACAGUAUAAAUAUGUCAUAACGCUGCUAGUGACAAGCCGCUUGUCGCCGUCACAGACAAAAAUAAAUGAAUGGCAACCCUGUCAUCACAAAUGUAUGGAAAGAGCAUAAUAAUUAAGAAAUGAUCUGAAGUAACAACAUGACUAAUAGCAGAAUGGUAAGGAGCUGGUGGACAGCUGUCACAAUAGGCAGGUUCAGUCAUGGAGAGUGUUGCCAUGGAUUUCAAUAGAGCGCAGACUGACAAAGUUGCCUGCAGUCAAAUUAAAAUGGAAGAAGUUCCAAAAUGAGAGCAUACUCGAGAUCAUCUCCAGAAAUAAAAGCCUGCUUCAGCUCUAUUGGUGGCAGUGAAAGCCAAAAGCAGGGCACAGCUGUGGUAAGAAACAGAAAAAGCAGAAAACAGACAGGCUCACUGGAAGAAGGAUACUGCACAGAGAGAAACGCUGAAAAAAUGAGUUUGAAACAGCAUCAGGAUCAGAGCUGAAGUGAUGGCAAGCUGGAAACAGGCUGUAAUGAGCUGAAAAGAAGGAGCAUGAAG